UAGCAGUGUGACAUGCCCGUUUUGGUGAUAAUCUCUGAUUUAUUAUUAUUAUUUAAUUGUUUGGGAUAACAGGGUGUUACAAUGUU
rnacentral:pre_miRNA from 1 species